UACGGAGGAUGCAAGCGUUAUCCGGAUUCAUUGGGUUUAAAGGGUGCGUAGGCGGGCUAUUAAGUCAGUGGUGAAAUCCUGCAGCUUAACUGCAGAACUGCCGUUGAUACUGAUAGUCUUGAGUUUGGUUAAGGUAGGCGGAAUGUGUAAUGUAGCGGUGAAAUGCUUAGAUAUUAUACAGAACACCAAUUGCGUAGGCAGCUUACUGAGCCGACACUGACGCUGAGGCACGAAAGCGUGGGGAUCGAACAGGA
rnacentral:rRNA from 1 species